AUGUGCAUCGCGGCGUGGACAUGGCAGGAUCACCAGGCGUACGGCCUGCUCCUCCUCUUCAACCGCGACGAGUACCACUCCAGGCCGACGCGGCCAGCGCAGUGGUGGGCCGCCGCGGGGGAGGGCGAGGAGAUCCUCGGGGGCAAGGACGAGCUAGGCGGGGGCACGUGGCUGGGGUGCCCGAAGGGAGGGAAGUUGGCCUUCCUGACCAACGUCCGGGAGCCCAGCCCCCGGGUUGGGGCGAGGUCCAGAGGGGAGCUUCCCGUCAGGUUUCUCCAGGGCAGGCAGGGUCCAUUGGAGUAUGCAACUGAAAUUGCAAAGGAAGCAGAUCAGUACAAUGGUUUUAAUCUUGUAUUGGCCGAUGUGCGUUCAGGAACCAUGGUGUACAUCUCUAAUAAGCCAGGUGACCCUCCUGUGGUUCAAACAGUUUCUCCUGGGUGUCAUGUGCUUUCUAAUGCUGCUAUUGACUCCCCUUGGCCAAAGGUGUUGCGCUUGGGACAGAACUUCAACAGAUUUCUUGCAGCACAUGAUGACGCAGAAGUCUCUUUGAAGCAGAUGGUUGAAGAACUGAUGACAGAUACGGCCAAGACUGACAGAUCUGCGGUGCCUGACACUGGCGUGGAUCCUGACUGGGAAUACCAGUUGAGCUCUAUAUUCAUCGACACGAAAAAGGGACAGGCAAGAUACGGGACACGAAGCAUGGCGGCCAUUGGGGUGAAACUGGAUGGUGAGGUAACUUUCUACGAGAGGUCCCUGGCCAGCAGCUUGUGGAAUGAGAAUGUAGUACAGUUUGAAAUGGAGAUGGCACAAUAG
rnacentral:rRNA from 1 species